UAUCAUCAGACAAUUGCGUGUUCGAAUUCUGACAAUGCUACAGCUGUCAGUGGCCAGGAGUCCAAGAGUGCAGAAUUGGACAUUCUCUUUGGGUGGGCGGGGCAUACUCUCUCUCCCCUGUCAAUCACAGUGACCCUAGCCAAUUGUUGGUUUCUGUGGGCUCAUAUAUGUGGAAGAGGGUGGAUAGCAGUUUCCUGUGAGUGUGUUACGCUGCUCUGUGAGAGAGCAUAAGUAGAAUAAGAGAAAAUAUGCAGUUGGCUGACUUCACGUGUCUCAGACAAAGCACGCGUUAGCCAUCACCCUCCCCGGUUGCUAGCUGUCGUGUGAUAGGAGAGAGCUGGCUAAUGGGUGGGAAUUGGCAGAAGACCAAACUGGGAAGAAAAUGGAGAAAAAAAUGGCUGACAAAUCUUUUGGGUUUGGUCUUCUUAUCAGACUUUCUGUCCAAUCAAAUUCUCUCUAGAAUCUGAACUGUCCCGCCCCCCAACAGUUGUAGCUUUCCUGGCUGUGAGCCCCACACGAAUUUAUGGAGAUACUAGAGAUCCAGAUCCUUUCUGCCUCUGGAUGGAGCUCAAAUCUUCUCUAAUUCCAGACUGCUGGGACUACGGCUGCUCCUAAGGCCAUACAGACUUCAUAUAAAUCCAUAAUGAACUUUUUCACACCAUCUGUUGUUACCCAGAUGAGGACGGGUUCCCUUCUGAGUCUGGUUCCUCUCAAGGUUUCUUCCUCUUAAAACAUCUUAGGGAGUUUUUCCUUGCCACCGUCGCCACUCAGUGGCUUACACAGUUGGGAUAAAUUCACACCUUUAAUAUCUGUAUACCGUGUUGAUAUUUCUGUAAAGCUGCUCUGAGACAAUGUCUAUUGUAAAAAGCGCUAUACAAAUAAAAUUGAAUUGAAUUGAAUUGAAUUGAAUUAUCAGGAUAGACUCUGGAUCCAGCACAACCCUGGACAAGAUAAAGCUGAGAAUAAAGAGUGAAGGGAUGAGUAAACCAAGCUCCAGGGACAAGAAAUGAUCUUUCAUCCCAUUUAGCACAUGAUAUGGUCGUGCUGUUUGCCCGACCACUUGAAUAAUGUGAAUCAUAUACAUGUAUUAAUGUUAUUAACGUGCAUGUAAAUGCAUUCAGGUUAAUGAACCUUCACCCUAUUAAGACCGCAUCGAGUGUGUGAAAUCAGCCGUGUGGCGUAGAUUGGGUAUAUACGUCAGGAUGGUGCUGCCAUGAAAGCAAAUGACCCUCGGUCACAGAGGAGGAGAUUUCAUUUCUUACCGUCCUUCACAAAUCAGGGACUUAAUCAGCUUAGUGUGGGGGAACCAAAUCAACAGGAGUUUCAGAAACAUAAUUAAAGAGCCAUUUACUGUGCCUCAUUUCCACUGACAUAAUGAGAGAAGGAAAACCUAAUGAAGCUCUGCCUCUCUCUGUUCCACGCACCUUUAUCUCUCACUACGAGAGGUCUGAGAUGAGCCUGCAGUGUCAGAGGACACGGGCGUAAUGGCAGGAUUGGAGAAGACGGAGGAUUUCGGGUGAAAGGAAAACAGAGGGAGUGCUAGUGUUCAUUGUGGAAGAAUGCCGAGCGGAGAGUGUGUAGUAGACACUGUGUGUUCGUGCAUUCAUUCUUUCUUUCUCGCUUGCUUCCUUUUUCUUUUUUCUUUCCUUCAAUCCCUUUUUUAUUCUUUAUCUCUAUUUUUUAAAUUCGUUCUCUCUCUUUCUCUCGUUUCUUUCUUCCUUUCAUUUGUUCAUUUUUAUUCCUUGUUCCUUUAUCUCUCCCUGUCUUUCCUUCUGUCCUUCCAUCCUUUCCAUUUCUUUCUUUCUUUCUUUCUUUCUUUCUUUCGUUCAUUACUUUUUUCUUUGUUCUUUCCUUAAUCUUCUUUCUUUCUUUCUUUCUUUCUUCCUUCCUUCCUUCCUACCUCUUUCUCUUUUCUCCUUUCCUUCAUUCUUUUAUCUUUCUUAAUUCUUUUAUCUCUUUCUAUGUCUCUCUAUUUUCUUUCUUUCUUUCAUUUUUUCUUUCUUUCUUUUGUUCAUUACUUUUUCUUUCUUCCUUUCAUUACUUUUUCUAUCUUCUUUCCUUUAUCUCUUUCUUUCUCUCUUUCUUUCAUUCAUUACUUUUUCUUUCUUUCUUCUUUCCUUCCUUUUCUCUCUUUUCCCCUUUCCUUCAUUGUUUUAUCUUUCUUCAUUUCUUUAUCUCUUUCCUCUGUCUCUCUUUUCUUUCUUUCUUUCGUUCAUUACUUUUUUCUUUGUUCUUUCCUUAAUCUUCUUCUUUCUUUCUUUCUUUCUUUCUUUCUGUCUCUCUUUCUUCGUUCCUACUUUUUUUCUCUUUUCUCCUUUCCUUCAUUCUUUGAUCUUUCUUAAUUUUUUUUAUCUCUUUCUAUGUCUCUCUAUUUUAUUUCUUUCUUUCUUUCCUUCCUUCCUUUUGCAGACCGAAGCCCUCAUUGGUGCACUCUUGCACACGUUUGUCCAAUCUCUCUUAAUUCUGACAAAUUGGUAACACUCUUAAUGAAUUAAACUCUUUGCGAAGCUUGAGGAAAGCUCAGGCUCGCUGGGCUCAUUUUCAUUGAAAUGUUUUAAUUGGACCACUUUUAAUUGGAUUGGUAAAUUUCGGAGAUAAUCAACUCUCCCUGCCUGCAUUCGGAGUCUUGACAUCUCAAUGAAAAGUAACGCUCACAUUUAAUAUGGUUUCAUCACUGUACUUGUCUUUAUUCAUAAAUAGCUGGAGAGCUGUUAUGUGAAAAUAACGGAUAAUUCCACUAUUAGUUGCGAUAAUGUGCAACAAACACUUUAUUAAAACCUUGUCAUAAAAACUGUUGUAUUUUAAACGCCAAUGUUAGAAUGGACUGUCACAUGACCCUUAAAGCCAUAGUCUAAUUUAAGCUCAUUUAAGCUCUAUUAAACAAACACGAAAACCCCUUAUAGUAUGUCUUCCUUAAAAUGACCAAACGUUUGUAUAGAAUGCUUUCGUACACACUUUCGUUUACAUUUUUUUUUAAAAAACCUCAGCGUACAUACUCUAUAUACUUUGGUGUCGUACAUAACCCA